GCCGUUGCUAUGUUAAUCCUUUUUAGUACGAGAGGAACUGCAUGUUCAGACAGUUGGUAUAUGUGCCUGGUCAAAAGGCCAAUGAUGCGAAGCUACCAUCUGAGGGAUUAAGACUGAACUCCUCUAAGUCUGAGUCCCGUUUAUAUUUGCAACGGU
rnacentral:ncRNA from 1 species